rnacentral:tRNA from 1 species
CAGGAAAUAUUUUAAUUAAAUUUUCAUUUUUGGGUGUUGAUGGUGAAGCUAAACUUUCUUCCUUAAU